rnacentral:rRNA from 1 species
GAUGAACGCUGGCGGCGUGCCUAAUACAUGCAAGUCGAGCGAACGGACGAGAAGCUUGCUUCUCUGAUGUUAGCGGCGGACGGGUGAGUAACACGUGGAUAACCUACCUAUAAGACUGGGAUAACUUCGGGAAACCGUAGCUAAUACCGGAUAAUAUUUUGAACCGCAUGGUUCAAAAGUGAAAGACGGUCUUGCUGUCACUUAUAGAUGGAUCCGCGCUGCAUUAGCGAGUUGGUAAGGUAACGGCUUACCAAGGCAACGAUGCAUAGCCGACCUGAGAGGGUGAUCGCCCACACUGGAACUGAGACACGGUCCAGACUCCUACGGGAGGCAGCAGUAGGGAAUCUUACGCAAUGGGCGAAAGCCUGACGGAGCAACGCCGCGUGAGUGAUGAAGGUCUUCGGAUCGUAAAACUCUGUUAUUAGGGAAGAACAUAUGUGUAAGUAGCUGUGCACAUCUUGACGGUACCUAAUCAGAAAGCCACGGCUAACUACGUG